ensembl:snoRNA
ACCCUCCAGUUCUCUUUCUCAUCAGAUCUCAACACUGGUCUUGGUGGUUGUAAGGAGGAAAAGCAUGCUGAAGCUGGCCUCACAGCCUUAGAGUCUGGUAUAAGCAUGUGGGCUAGAUUCAAAUAGGG